rnacentral:rRNA from 1 species
AGUCGAGCGGUAGAGAGAAGCUUGCUUCUCUUGAGAGCGGCGGACGGGUGAGUAAUGCCUAGGAAUCUGCCUGGUAGUGGGGGAUAACGUUCGGAAACGGACGCUAAUACCGCAUACGUCCUACGGGAGAAAGCAGGGGACCUUCGGGCCUUGCGCUAUCAGAUGAGCCUAGGUCGGAUUAGCUAGUUGGUGGGGUAAUGGCUCACCAAGGCGACGAUCCGUAACUGGUCUGAGAGGAUGAUCAGUCACACUGGAACUGAGACACGGUCCAGACUCCUACGGGAGGCAGCAGUGGGGAAUAUUGGACAAUGGGCGAAAGCCUGAUCCAGCCAUGCCGCGUGUGUGAAGAAGGUCUUCGGAUUGUAAAGCACUUUAAGUUGGGAGGAAGGGCAGUUGCCUAAUACGUAACUGUUUUGACGUUACCGACAGAAUAAGCACCGGCUAACUCUGUGCCAGCAGCCGCGGUAAUACAGAGGGUGCAAGCGUUAAUCGGAAUUACUGGGCGUAAAGCGCGCGUAGGUGGUUUGUUAAGUUGGAUGUGAAAUCCCCGGGCUCAACCUGGGAACUGCAUUCAAAACUGACUGACUAGAGUAUGGUAGAGGGUGGUGGAAUUUCCUGUGUAGCGGUGAAAUGCGUAGAUAUAGGAAGGAACACCAGUGGCGAAGGCGACCACCUGGACUAAUACUGACACUGAGGUGCGAAAGCGUGGGGAGCAAACAGGAUUAGAUACCCUGGUAGUCCACGCCGUAAACGAUGUCAACUAGCCGUUGGAAGCCU